GACAGAGGGUGCGAACGUUGUUCGGAAUUACUGGGCGUAAAGCGCAUGUAGGCGGCAGCGCAAGUCGGGCGUGAAAUCCCACGGCUCAACCGUGGAAGUGCACUCGAAACUGCGCAGCUAGAGUCCUGGAGAGGAAGGUGGAAUGCUUGGUGUAGAGGUGAAAUUGUAGAUAUCAAGCGGAACACCGGUGGCGAAGGCGGCCUACUGGGACAGUGACUGACGCUGAGAUGCGAAAGCGUGGGAGCAACAGGGAGUUAAAGAUAUC
rnacentral:rRNA from 1 species